CCGAGGACCGGGCGUGGGCUGGCCCCAGGCGCAGGUUCCCGGCCGCCGACUCGCACGCUCUGGCAGCGCCGGAUUCCUCGACUGUAAACCGCCCCCAGGCCGCAGAGGUGGGGAGAGGCUCGGAGAUUGUGAACCUGAACGCACCCAGUGCCGCGGCCAGAGAAGAUGGCGGGAGAAACUGAGGCUCAGUGGGCAGGCCCGGCCUCCUCGGAGUCCAGAGCGAAACCUUUGACACUGAGAUUUAUUGAGAGAGUUGCCACUUUCUGAGCGCUUAAAGUGCGUUGUGGGCGCUUUGGUGCCUUACGUGCGUUAAUUCGCUCAAUGCUCACAAAGACUCUAUGAAGUGGGGCACUGCUAUUAUCCGCAUCUCACAGAUCUGAUCCCAGGCUCAUUUGUCUUUAGAGGCUGGUUACGCCCCCACUCACCUCUUUCGGAGUUGUCCAUGUUCCUGUAGGGGAUUCAUGGCAUCUUAGGGCUGCUUCUUGGGGCAAGGGACGGAGGCUUCCGGCCGGAAGGGACAUGAGAGUGGCAAAGGGCAGCUGGGCAUCUGCCGAAACAAAGACUCGUGCCCCUGUGGGUGAAGACCACAACAAAUGCUGCUGACCGAGGAUCAAGGCAGGGCCCUGAAGGUUGGAGUCUUUGCCCAAAGGAUCUGUUGUCCUUCAGCCCUCACGUUGGCCCUGUCUCCCGGAGGUGUACUGGCUGUGGUGUGACAAGCCUGCCCCUGUGCAUGAGACUCCAUCAGACCAUGACCGCACCCUCAACUUGCCAGCAAGUUCACGGGGAGGAAACAGAAUCUGGAGUCCCAGGCACCUUUCUUGUUCUUAACAAGGCUCGGUUUCAGGAUCUCUCGUGAAGGAACUUCAUUAGAAGGCUCUCCUUCUAGAGGUUGGGAUUCUGUGCUACCUUCUGGAGGCAAGGAAACUGAGGCCCAGAGAGAAGAAGGCAUGAGAUGAGGGAGCCUGCUGUUCCCAGGGAGUUCAGGCUCCCAGUGAGCACUAUGUCCUUCUCUAAUCCAGAGUCCAGGUCACUUCGUCCCAGUGUGCAAGAGAGGCUGACCACAUGGAGUAGAAGUCAAGAGAACCGAGGUCGAGUUGCCGGUUCACACUCACCCAAAAGCCCAGUUGGGCACACUUCCUAUACACAGCCUCACGCAGGUUCACCCAGAGGCCCUGAACACCACAUGCACACCUCCAUGUGUUUAUAGGCCCACGUACGUGCAUACCAUACAAACCCAAGUGCAAACACACGUACACAGCCCCUGCUUCCUUCCCUGUGUUCUCUCCAUCUAAUAAAGGCACACAUUCCUUUUAGCAUCUUUUUCCACGUUGACAGAAAGAACAUUUUUCAAUCCCCCUUUAUGACUUUUGUUGGGUUCUUACUCCGGCUUUUCUGCUAACUCUCUGCAGGCUCUGGUGCUUUCUUUGUGAUUUCCUUUCGGCAUCUGGCCCUGCUCCUCCCCGUGUGCUGGGCGGAGGGGAGGCUGGGCCUUCUCCACUGCUUCUCAGGCUCUUAUCUUGCUUUCACUGCUUAACCUUGCCUGUGUUUAGCCUUUUGAGCCGCUCGGCUUUUUAUCUUGUCUCUGAGGAUUAUGCUGUGCGUCUCCCAAGGGAAGGGACUGUUACUUCAUCCUGGUCUGUGUUGCACCCCCCCCACAGUGGCUGGUUUCCUGCCAGGCUGCUGAUGGGUGCUCAGUUGAUGGAGAAGGAAGGAAGGAGUCCAUGCCCAAUGUGAUUCAGCUCCGUAUGCCAUUUUCUGCAGAGCUCAUCAGCUUGCCCCCGCCUGUCCCAUGCCUGGGAAAGUCAUUCUUGCAACUUUUAAUCUUGUUUUCUCCCUGAACAUCACUCCCACUGCUCCCACCCCUUCCCCUUGGAUCCUCGGAAGCACUCAGCCCACUGAAAUCUGCUUUCUGAAAUUAUUCUUUUUCUUUUGGCUAGCGUCACUCGUUUUCUUUGAAGUGGUCGGGGGCAUCCCCCUUAAAAUGUCAGCAGCUUCACACAUAAGCACUCAAGACUGGGGGCUCCUUAGGGCAGUCCUGGCUCUGGCACAGCACAGUAAUAAUCAUAGGUACGAGCCUCCUCAGUGCCCCGGCAGCUUCUUUUCUCUUCUGCCCUAUCACUCGCCAUUUCCAUUGCUUUUCAGCCACACUAAACCACGCGUGGGUCUCAGAACGGGCCAGACUCUCUCUGAUCUCUAGUGUUUGCUAUUUCCUGUACCCAGAACAUCCAUGGUGUCAGGCAUCUUUGCUCAGGUGAGAUGCCUUCUUGGAUGCACCUUCCCCAGGCUGGAUUAGAUGCCUCGCCCAUGUGCUCCCAUGCAACCUGUCAUGCUGUGAGGCAAUUGUCUAUUUGUCUGUCUCCCCUCCUAGCCUCAGAGUUCCCGCAUAGGUAAGGACCCAACCCUGUAUUCCUCCCGUAGCAUCACACCUCGACAGGAACUGACCCAGAGUAGGAACUUAAUACAUGUAGGCUGUAUGGAUGGUGGGGAAGUUGGGAUCUGAGUAAGGCCUUGAGAGAGUCCCAUGACCUGGGCUAGAAAUCCAGCUCCUUCCAGCCGAUCUGUGUGCGUGGGACAAGUGACUUAACCACUCAUCCCUAGCUGGCUUUUGAGUGUUGGCCAAAUGCCAGAGUGAUGGGGGCCGGAGAUGCAGCAGUGAGCACGUCAGCCCGAGUCCCUGGCCCAAUGUGGCACAGACACGUUGGGUGACAGUGAACGCCACGACUGAAGAAAGGGCUGAGGUGGAGACUAACAGUUGGGCUUCGGGCUGGGGGGUUGGGAAGGCCUCUCUGAGGUGAUGCGCAGGCUGCAUCCUGAAGGAAAAGGGGUAGCUCUGGGGGCGGGGAGUGCAUUUAAGGUGGGAAGAGCAGCACGUUCAGGUCCAGUGCGGGGAAGAGGGAUCUGAUUCCAGAAAGAUCAGGUGUGGCUCAGGGUGGUGAGAAUGGGGGAGAAAGCACCUGGAAGUGAAGUUAGAGGCAGACGGGGGCAGAUGGUGCGGGCCUUUGGAUCGUGGGUCGGGCGGCUGUAUUCAAAAGGCAUUAAGAAGGCAGUGAAGGACGCUAGCAGGGGAGGAGGGCGCUCUGGCUUAUGUUUGGGAGCAGUGUUUGGGAAGCCGAAUAGACAGGAGUCACUGAGGUGACAUGGGAUGACCCGUUGGCUUCUGGCUUGAGGGAUAAGAUGGAUACUGGUGCCACUUACCAACACUGGGGAGGAUAGAGGGAAUCAAGAGUUCCGUUUUGGCCGUAUUAGGUUUGAGAUUCUGUGAGGAUUCAAGUCAAAUAAAUGGUUAGAAAUGAGAGGCUAGAGUCAGGAGGGGCGGCUCUCUGACCUUUGGCUUCUUCCUUGGUGAAAAGGAAAUGUCGGCCGAAUUGACUUCCUAGGGCCACUGCAAGGAUUCAGCGAAAUACGCCCCAUGCAGCACUCAGCAGCGGCCUGGCUAGAGGAAAAUGCCCGUCGGUGACAGCGAGCCAGUCCUCGGACACAGCAGUGGGUGAUGAAAGGAGUCGUUUAAAACACUAAUCUGAAAUCUGCUGCUCAGAAUGAUUCCAAAAACUCAUGGAGAAGAAAGCUCCUCACUCCUGGGUGAGGGCUGUGCCUAAUGACUGCCUUCCAGAGAGCACAGCAUGCAGCACAGAAAGGGGGCAACACCACCCCAGCCGGGUGAGCGAGGGUAACAUCACGGGAAUGCCACACAGAUGGCACUACCCUUGAUGCGAUGCGCUGACAAAUCCCAGUGGAGGGACAUUCCACCAAAUACCCGCCCAGUACUCCUCACAGCUGUCAAGGUCAUCGAAACCAGGGGAAGUCUGAGAAACUGUCACAGCCCAAAGGACUAAACGUGGUGUGGUCUCCUGGAGGCAUUCUGGAAUGGAGAAGGAUACGAGGGAAAAACCAAGGGUUGCGAGUGAGCCCGGGCUUUAGUGAGUAAGACCAUGUCUGUCCUGGUUCAUUAGCUGGGACAGAUGACUAUACUAACGUAACAUGCUAACGGGGGGGGACCUGGGUGCAGGCUGCUCAGUAACUCUUUGUUCUAUCUUUGCAACUUUUUUGUAAAGCUAAACGAUUUUGAAAUACAAAGUUUAUUUUAAAUUAAACAUAAAACCAGCCUGGAGUUGGUGUGCAGGUUAGAUGGGGGUUCUCCCACCUUCUGCACCCAGUGCCACCCCUUCGCCUUUGGAGAAUGUUUCUGGUGGCCCCGUGGGCAGUUCUGCUCUGGUCUGGCCUUGACUCGGUGACUGGGCAAGUUGUCUCAGGCAUCAGUCUUCCACCUGAGAGCCUCGUGUUUGCAAUCUUGGAAACCAUUCCCACACAACCCUCUGCCUCCUCUUGGCUCAGAGCAGGAGUCUAUCUUCUUACUCCAGGGCUGGUGAGAAAACUCAGGUGUCCUUUGGGCUGAGGCAUCAAAGUGUCUGGGGAGCAGGUUGGAAUUAGGGACCCUGAUCCAGCAGUGUGAGGGCUCUUCAUUCAUUGUCAACAAAAAUGUAUUGUGUACCUGUGAUGAGCCAAAGAAUAAAUGCCAAGAAGAAGAGCUAAUAAGAAAAACAAAGAAGGGUGAGAGAAGAGGGAGGUGCUAUGUUAGACUCGUUGAACAGGGAGGGCCUCUCAGAGGUGACAUUUAAGUCAAGACUUGAACGAGGGAGCAAGCCACAUGGACCUAGGGGCAGGAGAAGGAUGGCAGAAGGAACAGCUUGUGCAAAGGCCCUGAGACAGAAUGUGCCCGGUGUGUCUGAGGCAUGUAGAAGCCAGUGAGCGAGGGGAGAGUGAGAGAUGAGAUGAGAUCAAGCAGCCCUGGGAGGUCAGAUCAGGCAGGCCUUGCAGGGUAUGAUGAGAGUUUUGGAUUAUAUUCCUAGUGGGAUGGGAAACCGUUGGAUGGUUUGGAACAGUAACUUAAGGCGAUCUGAUUAACAUCUCAAAAGGCUCUCUCUGGCUAUUGUGUGAGAAUAGACACAGGAAGAGGAGGUGGAAACAGAGAUAAUUAGGAGGCGAUUACAAUAUCCAGACGAGAGAUAAUAGCAGCAGUGAAAGCGGUGAGCAGCUGCUGGGUUCUGGAUGGGUCCUGAAGGGAAAGCCUGUAGCAUGUGCUGGUGGAUUGGAUGCUGGGUAUGAGAAAGAGGUCAAGGAUGAUUCCAAAGCUCUUGGCCUCAGCAGCUGAAGAAUGGAGGGAGAAGGCCGUGCACAGGGGAGCCUUCCACCCCACAGGGCUGAGAGAGGGGAGAGGAGGCCAGAGGCUGGAAGAGGAGGACACAGUAAGGGAGCCAAGAGGGAGCAGUCAGUGAAGCGGGGGGAGAGCAGAGUGCCAUCCACAGGCCAAGUGGAGACAGAGACUCUAUCAGACGUGAGCGUGGGCAUCAAGUGCUCCUGAAAGGUCAAGAAGAAACUGACCCUUGGACUUGGCACCUCGGUCACCGGUGACCCUGGUCAGGGAAACUUUGAUGGGGUCGUGAGGGAAAAAGCCUGAGGAGCGGGAGGAAGUGGCGACAAGAACACGAAGAACUGUCGUGAAGAAUUUCACUGUAAGGGGAGCAGGAGGAGGGGUGGCAGCCAGAGGAGAUCCAGAACCAGGGGAGAUUUUUGGUUUUAACAUGGUUACUGCGAGUUUGCACGUGGACGUGAAAGAGCAGGUAGAGAGGGGGAGCUGAUGAUGUAGGAGAGAGGGGAGUCGCAGGAGCGAAGCCCUGAAGGUGGGAGGACCCCAUGGGUGGGAGCGGGGACACUGACUGCCACAGGCGGGAGGCCGAGGACUGGAGUCAGAGGCAGGCAGGCUGGGAGCUCAGGCCUCCUCCUCACUCUCAUCUCCCAUCAACUGCUCCCUCUUCUCGGUUCUGAGCUGGAAGCUGAGACGGCAAGGAGCUGAGACCCGAGUCUACUUGUCCCCCACCCUCCCGUUUGGGAUGCCACCAGUUCCAGGGUCCCCACAGCCCCUGCCCUCCUGGGAAGACCUGUCGUGGGCACUUUCCCUCUGCCCAGAGGCAACGCUUGUCUCCUCGCUAGUUCACCUCAGACACGAUUUGACUUCUCCUGGUGUUUCCUCUUAUCGACCAGAGUGUACACCUCACUCGGUAACUAACAUGCAGAUGGCAUUUCUGGGACACUUUCACAGAUCUCACUGGAUCCUCUCCCUCGGGAGAGGCAAAGACCGCUUUGGCCUCAGACUUCACCAACUUCCAGAAACUACGGCAAGACAUCAACCUAGUAGGGGGAGAGAAGCCAAGUUCUAGUCUUCAAUCAGAAGAGCGGAAACUGCCCUCGACACGACACUGGCUUGGGAGCUGCAGGCCAGAGCGGGCAGCGACCCACAGCUCCCUGAAGAUCCCCCAGCUCCACGAAGACAUGAGUCAAACCACUGGCCCAGGCUAUGGGCCACAGUCCAGGCCCUCCAACAUGGCUAUGGGAGCGGUCUGAGGGACUAACGGGGACCGACUGGCCCAGCCCGGCGGGAGGCUUUGCAGGGCCUGGGAACAGACUACUGAAUUUCCCCAGGCGCAGUCAUCUCCCAAGAUGACUCCAGACAUCCAGAAUCUGGGACAAGCAGAGAGCAGAGACGGAAGGGGGCUGGCCCACACCUGCACAUGCCCCUUCCCCCUCAGAAGCUAGGAGGGAUCCUCAAGGAGACUGUAGGAAAAGAUCUGAGCUGAUUGGGAAGGGAAAUUCGAGUCUCCUCAAUGGAAACCUGAGUUUUCAGUCACGCCUCUGUGCUGGGCUUUGGCCCCGGCAGGGUGUCAGCUCUGUCCCCUCCAGGCUCCUUCUCCAGGUCGGUCUCUGCCUUGUGGCCCAGCUACCACUAAAUGAAACAAAGGCCAGUACCACCUGACACCAAAGACGUCCGGGAGGUUUUCCCUUUCUUUUCAAAAUCCACUCAUCUAGAGACUCCCCUCGAGCAAACAGGAGGGAAGGGAGAAGCCCUUUCUCUCAGAGGACCCUCCGAGCUGAAGACAGAAACACCUAGUUCUCGGACUUCUCUUCAGAAUGUCAUCUGUCAGUAUUUCCAAGGCAGCUUUCUCUUCCCUGAAGCCUGGAGAAGCUAUGCUCUGGACACCACUCCCUAGGCCGAAGCACCCAGUUCAGGGCCCGGUGUAGGAAGUACGAGAUACCAGUGAUGGUUCGUGAUGUGGGGAAGGAGGACACUGAGAGGAACAGCUCAGAACACGUCCUAGCCCAGCAUUUCUCCACCUCGGCACUGCUGUCGUUCUGCGCCGCACCGUUCCCUGUUGUGGGGGCUGUCCUGCGCACCACACAAUGUUUAGCAGCAUCCGUGGUCUCUACCCACUCCAUGCCAGUAGCAUCUCCACUCCCAGUUAUUGACAACCAAAAAUGUCUCCAGACAUUGCCAGAUGUCCCCUGGGGGCAAAAUCGCCUCCGGAGGAGAGCUACCGUCUAGAUGAGUCUUAUUUGUGUGUGUGCUGGGGGAGGACAGGAAGAAUGGGGUAUAGAGGAGGGGAGUCAGUACUCACGCCAAUGAAGGGGAUGAAUUUCUGAUAAGAGUCUUCA